UGUCGUCAGCUCGUGUCGUGAGAUGUUGGAUUAAGUCCCGCAACGAGCGCAACCCUUGUCCCUAGUUGCUACGCAAGAGCACUCUAGGGAGACUGCCGGUGACAAACCGGAGGAAGGUGGGGAUGACGUCAAGUCCUCAUGGCCCUUAUGGGUAGGGCUUCACACGUCAUACAAUGGUCGGAACAGAGGGUUGCCAAGCCGCGAGGUGGAGCCAAUCCCAGAAAACCGAUCGUAGUCCGGAUCGCAGUCUGCAACUCGGCUGCGUGAAGCUGGAAUCGCUAGUAAUCGCGGAUCAGCAUGCCGCGGUGAAUACGUUCCCGGGUCUUGUACACACCGCCCGUCACACCAUGGGAGUGGGUUUUACCAGAAGUUUUAUAGUCUAACCGCAAGGAGGACGGUCGACCGACGGUAGGGUUCAUGACCAUGGGGCGUAGAAGU
rnacentral:rRNA from 1 species